CUGCUCAAGAGUCAUAUGUCCUCAGUUAUAGUGUCAUCUUGCCAUUAGAGAUGUCACAAUAUCAUCCAUCCUUGAGACCUCAAUUGUGACUGUUAGCACAGGGAGUUCUGUUUCCAUACACCAGUCAAAGUCUCAUCAGGCAGGUCACACUUGGCCUUGGGCUGGCUCACAAUUGAAUUAACAGCUGACUUAUAAGCCAGUUCAAUAACAUUUUAUAGCCUGCCCAGCGUGGUUUCAAGCUGGUCUCCUGCAAUGGUGAUUACAGAAUUCACAGGAAAUUUGAACUCUUUGCAAUGGCCCAGUUUCUCACAUUGUGAUAAACUUCCUUGAACACUGAUAAGUUAAUCGUUAAGAUUAACGUUUUGUGAAAAGAAGAGACACAGUAGUGCACUGAUUGAUGUAAAAAAUAGCGCUGGACUACAAGAUUCAGCUGGCUGUGGUGUUCUGUGGAAGACAGGAGAAAGAGCAACAGCAUCCCUAGCCUGAGAUGGCCCAAAGAAGGUUUGCCUGCAUCUCAUACAUACUGGAACUUCUGUGAAAAGUUGUUUAUGUGCCUCUCCCCUACCCUCUUACCAAACAAAAAACAAGUCAAUGUGCUUAAGGUGUCUCAUAGUCAAAGGCUCGGGGAAAAGAAUUCAUCCAUCACAGAGAACUGCGCAGAUUAGCAUCAAGUCCUCAGAAUGACCAUGCCAUUGUCCUUGAAAAACACAGCCCUGUGGUUUCUCAUUGUAAAGCGGAACACAACCUGGGAGAAACAGCAGCACCGCAACGCUGAAGAGAUAGCCCCUUGUGCUUCACCGGCUUCUUUAUGGGUUUGGAAUAAGAGAAAAGAUGAUAGCCAAUUUCCAUUAAAUGAGCGAUAGACCUAGGCUUAGAGAAUUCACAAGAGAAACAAACCUAAAAGAAGUUGAAUAGCAGAAGACUGUUCAUUAAUAUUGAUUGCCUUACAAGCCAGGCAUGAGGUGUAAAUCAUUUCAUUUAAUCAUUACAAAGACCUGAAGAAGCAAGUAUUGGCUCUAUUUUGUAGAUGAGAAAGUGACAAUUCAGUGGAGGUGAUAUCUAAACACGCUCAGUGCCUAUGUUUGCUGGAGCUUCGUUCUGGUUGUUGUCACAGAACUCUCCGCAGGUCAUGGGGCCACUUCCUCCAGCAGCACCUGUAUCUGAAUUUGAUGGUGUACUUUGGCCAGAUAGACCUUAUCAGAGGGUGCACAUCAAAGCAGCUCUCUGGGCAAAUGUACUAUGAGAGCGUUCUCCAGAGACUCAAAAACAAUACAGAGCUGCUUAUUUUAUGUCAUUAAAGAUUUUGUUCCAAAUGACAAGUCCAAAACCCCGCAGAUUGAGGCAGGAGUUGUUGCUGUGCUCCUACAGCAGAACUGUAAGGGAAACCUUACUUUCUGCUCUUAAGACAAUCAUUGUUUGGACCAGGCCCUCUAUUAUUGAGGGCAGAGUCUUGUACUUAAAGCCAACUAUUACACAUAUUAACCACAUACAAAAUAUCUUCACAGAAAUAUGUCGAUUAGCAUUUGAUUAAGUAACUGGGUACUACAGCCUGGCCAAGACAAUACACAAGAAUUUCAUGCAUGGACACUUACUAGAAAAAAGGAUAAUAUAUUUCAGGUUAAGUCCUGAGGACCACUAUGUUUACAGGAAUUGCAAAAGAGAGUCACAUAUAUAGAGAGCAUUUACUAGAAAGAUUAUAAAUGCUGUGUGAUA